rnacentral:lncRNA from 1 species
GCAAGGUAUUUAAUCAUGUUUGAACGAUCGAGCGGUACCCAGUGACUCUUAGCCUCCCAAAAUAGAAAUAAUAAAAUACCUCGAGCCGCCCAUACCUCAUAAAUGCAUCAAGAUUUUUGAAGCACCAAAUCUUUCCAAAUCAUUAAGGUGUGAUUCACAAAGUGACUCAUUGAAUCAAAGGCAAAUCCUAUGAAGCAACAUGAUGAUUCGUCCUG